rnacentral:rRNA from 1 species
UUAGCGGCGCGAAUCGCCCUUAGAGUUUGAUCAUGGCUCAGGAUGAACGCUGGCGGCGUGCUUAACACAUGCGAGUCUGAACGAUGGAGCGUUUUGUGCUUGCACAAGAUGAUUAGUGGCGAACGGGUGAGUAACACGUGAGUAACCUGCCCUUGACUCUGGGAUAAGCCUGGGAAACUGGGUCUAAUACUGGAUAUGCACCGUGGACCGCAUGGUUCUUGGUGGAAAGAUUUAUUGGUCAGGGAUGGACUCUGCGGCCUAUCAGCUUGUUGGUGAGGUAAUGGCUCACCAAGGCGACGACGGGUAGCCGGCCUGAGAGGGUGACCGGCCACACUGGGACUGAGACACGGCCAGACUCCUACGGGAGGCAGCAGUGGGGAAUAUUGCACAAAUGGGCGAAAGCCUGAUGCAGCGACGCCGCGUGAGGGAUGACGGCCUUCCGGGUUGUAAACCUCUUUCAGUAAGGGAAAGAAGGCGAAAGUGACGGUACCUGCAGAAGAAGCGGCCGGUAACUACGUGGCCAGCAAGCCGGGGUAAAUACGUAGGGCGGCAAAGCGUUAUCCGGAAUUAAUUGGGCGUAAAGAGCUCGUAGCGGUAUGGUACGCGUCUAUCGUGACAAGUCCCGAGGGCUCAAGACUCAGGAUCA